rnacentral:rRNA from 1 species
GAUGAACGCUAGCGGGAGGCCUAACACAUGCAAGCCGAGCGGGAUUUGUUGGUUAGCUUGCUAACUAACAAUGAGAGCGGCGUACGGGUGCGUAGCACGUGUGCAACCUGCCUUUAUCUGGGGGAUAGCCUUUCGAAAGGAAGAUUAAUACCCCAUAACAUAUUGAUUGGCAUCAGUUAAUAUUGAAAGCUCCGGCGGAUAGAGAUGGGCACGCGUAAGAUUAGCUAGUUGGUGAGGUAACGGCUCACCAAGGCUGCGAUCUUUAGGGGGCCUGAGAGGGUGAUCCCCCACACUGGUACUGAGACACAGACCAGACUCCUACGGGAGGCAGCAGUGAGGAAUAUUGGACAAUGGGUGAGAGCCUGAUCCAGCCAUCCCGCGUGAAGGACUAAGGACCUAUGGUUUGUAAACUUCUUUUAUACAGGGAUAAACCUACUCUCGUGAGGGUAGCUGAAGGUACUGUAUGAAUAAGCACCGGCUAACUCCGUG